AGGCGGGUGGACAGUGAGUGAACAAGUUUUGGAAGGAUGAAUGUACAAGUGGGUGUUGGGUGGAUGGAGGACUAUAUGGAGAACUGAAGGAAGGGCUGGGUUGAUGGACAGAUGGGUAAGGGGGUGAGUGAGGGCUGGAUGGCCGAGGGAGGCAUGGCUGGAGGGGUUACUGGGUGAAUGAUGGGUGGCGGGUCUUCCAGAUGACAAUAACAGUAACGGCAGUAGCAAUGUCAGUAAAGUAUUACAGCCAUUAUUGUUAUGUCAUGACAGCAAACAGGACCAGCAAAGGACGCCGGGUGCCGAGUUCCCGCCGGCCUGCUCCCCGAACCUCCAGGGGUCCUCACCCUUCGGAGCAGGGCAGACCGGCCGCCCAGGCCCUCCGUCUGCAGAUCUGAGUCUAAGCCACUUCUCUCUCAGGAACAGGAGGGUGACCUUGCUUCUCCCGGAGCCUGGGCCCCGAGGAGCUAAGAACAGUGAAGGGACCCUGCCCCCCGCAGUGCGGCCAGCUGCUGCUGGCAUCUGUGGGAACGUGGCUGAGGCUUGCCAGCUGUUGGGGAGUGCAGGGGAGCCAGAGGCGGGGCAAGUUUCCAUCUCUACAUGUGCUGCGCCAGCACUCGGGGCUGCUGUCCUUGGGUCUCACCUGGAGUGGGGGAAGGCCUGCCACUGACUAGCAAGUGACUUUGAGAAGCGGCUCGUCCUUGCGUCUCUGUUUCCCAGAGAGGAAAGUGUCAGGGCCCUUGCUUCAGGAUGUAGGCUGCCUCCCUGUCCCCAAUCUAAUCCUGACCCCAGCCAGGGGACUUGAGCAUGGUGGCACGUGCCCCAGACCCCUGUCUACAUUUCCAGCUUUGCCGAGCGCAUGCUCCCCCGACCCCCGGGCACCCCCAUUUCCGUAUGAGGAGGCAGGAGUGGCUAAGAGCUCACAGCACCGCUCUGGGGUCUGCCACCCUGAGGACAGAGGCCAUCAGCCACUCCCAGCCUGUGACCUCAGUCAAGUCAUUUGCCUCCCAGACCGAUUUCCCCUAAAAUGGGGACGAUGGCCCAUCCUUGGGGCAUGGUGGCGUGGGAUGAGAUAUGCAUGUCAAGAUAUGAGAUAUGCAUAGUGAGAGCUUCUGAAGCACACAGUAGGCGCCUGGUGUGGCUGUUAGGCUUCCCCAUGGGGUGGGCUGCUGUGGCGACUUGUACAGUAGAUGGCCUCAGCAGAGCCAAGCUGGAGAGGAGAGGAAAUGGCCAAGUUCUCUGCAGCUCUGACGGUCCAAGGCCGGGGCCAGCAGGGAGACCUUUGGUGUGGACUGGAAGGGCCCCAAUUCUCAGAGCUGGGAGAAACAGUCUAAAAAUUGGCUGUCGGUUCAGGUGGGGAGCUCCCCAUUCCCAGGGGCAAUCAAAUAUAAUCUGGUCCUUGCUUUCCAGCAAUUCACACAUACGUGGGUCAGUGUUUUCCCUGAGAUUUCAUGAUGCUGUUUAUCUAGAUCCUCGCCAGCAGAAACACUCUCUAUAGACUUUGGGUGAAGAUCAGAUCUGACCCUGCCAGGCUCCUGCCACCGAUCUCCUGUGCCCCCAUUGCCCGGGUAGGUGAGGGAGGGGAGGAGGGAAAAUCCAACAGUGACAUCCCCAUGCACGCCACGUCGCGGCUGACACCAGCAGGUGGAUGAACGCGGACAGGUGGACUCAACCCGGACCGAGGGCUCAUCCCCAGGGGGCUGGAGAGGGUGAGGUGAGAGGCCGCGAUUGGAACAGCUCCAACCGAUGCACGUGCUGCCCAGAGCUCCUGUCAUGCAAGCAGCGGGCCACAAUCCUUGGGGUGUUCUUUGAUGACCCUGUGUCCUAGAGGAGCAGUCUGGGGUUAACAGAAGUCCGGUGACCUUCCCACAGUCAACUCCCAGCCACAGAACGGGACUCUGCGCCUAGCUGCAGAUACUGCUGUGUGGCAUCUGUGAGGGGUCACUGUCACACUCGCGGGCUGCUGCUGGCCUCGGGCACAGGUGGCCCCUGCUGCUCUGGGCAGGCCUCUUGGGUUCUGAGCUCUGCAGCCCUGGAGCGAUGCCUUCCCUUGAGGGCUCCCCGGCCAUCGCUCGCCUGCCCGUGGCUGUGCAGAGUGGGCGAAUCGCAGUGACUGUUUUCCCCUCCCGUGCACCAACGGGAAGGGGACACUCGGACGUCGGCUGUCCAGGCAUGUAGGGUCUGGUGCCCCUACCCUGCGAAUGUCGGAGCAGAUUUCCAGUGGUCAAGGUGGCCAUUUCCAGGCAGCCAAGCUACGGGCUCCCAGGCUCCCUUCACCGGACCCCCAUCCUAUAAAGUCCUCCUGAAGCCCAGCAGCCUCGGGGGGACUUAAGCACGGUCAGUAUGAUGAGGGCCAGUUCCUGCAUUCAGGUCUCAGCUCCAAAGCCUCCCAUGGUGACCAGGAGUAAGGGUUCUUCCACUCAGCAAGGACACAGCGGGUGGGGGCUGCAUUCCAGGAGCUGCUCCGGGCUGCUCACUGGGAGAGGCGGAGGCAGGGCGUGUCUGGGAGGUGUUUUUCUAGGUGACAUUUGUAACCCUGACCCUUCCUCUUCCCUGGUUCGUCUGUGGGCUGUCAAGGCCCCAGUCUCUCUCCUGAGCAUCAAACCCAUGCCACCAACUGCCCAGGCCCUCAGGCUGCGUGCAGGUCUGAGCUGGAACGCUGCGCCCCACGCCCAGAUCUCCACCGUCUGCUCAGAUGCUUCUCCUUGGCUCGCACGGGGCUCCAUGGUUCUACCACGUGAGUUCCUCCACUUCCAUCCGCUGCUACACUGUCAGCACCCCGGUGGCGUCUGGGCGCCAUCCUGCUCCCAGGCCCCCACCUGCGUACAAUCCGCCCGGCUCUGCCCUGCAGCCCUGCCGCGGGAUGGUCUGACCAAGGUGACAGGACACCAGCAUCAGCGAGGGGGGCCGCCAGAUCCUGAGACCACUCCUGCCAGUCCCUCCCACGUGAUGGGGCUGCUUCUGAGGGACGGACAGUCUUUGUCCAGGAGUCACUGGGGGUAGGGACGCCCCCAAGUUCACAGAUGCCCCUCGCCAACACUCCAAAGUAUGAAUGGAGGCCGGGUGCGGUGGCUCACGCCUAUAAUCC